CAUCAUCACCAUCACCAUCAUCACCAUCAUCAUGUCUACUUGACCAUGUGCACUCACGGAAACAGGCCCAGAGCUGGUUUCACAGCCCGCCGAACCUGGUUCGGCCGGAUAAGAAGACCGAAUGGUGAAUAUUUACCUAUUUUAAAUGAAAGUCUAGCACCAUGCACACCUUCAGCGUUUCACAGAGAAAAGGAUGCACUCUGGGUAACCUGAUAACCUCCCUCGAAUCUUCUCAACCGCCGGAAAUCACUCGCACUUCCAGUCCGGUUCAUUUUUUUUUUAGAUAGUGCUUUUAGCACCGGACAUGCUCACAGCGCAGGAAGUAGAUCUGGAAACUUAACGAGCGACGGCGGCGAGGGAAAAACUCCCUGAGACAUCAUGAGGACGAAGCCGCGAGAGCGCCCUGACUCACCGUCCUGUUCUGGGCGACACUUCUUGAUAUAUUUCCGCGGUACAGGCGGUACAACGUCGUGGUGCUGUCGUGAUCAAAUGCAACGAAAUCGUUAUGAAUGCAAGGAACAGGAGACCGUAAGAGACUUAAAUCAGAUCGGAUCAGUUUGGCGCCGGUGCACGCGUCGAUUCUUGGCUUGCGUCGAGGAUGAAAUACCGUACCUUACUUUGUUAAAAAUCCUCUUGAAAUAGGGAAUUUUGCGGCUUUUAGUACGGAUAUGAGUCAGCGCUACGGUUAUCUAUGAGCUAGUGCGCUCCAGAACGACGACUAAACCCGUAUUUAGAAGAUAUACGCACUCAGAACGUACAGUUUCACUCUAACAUCAAUACGCAUCAACGGUUUCCAUGACGUCGUUCUGCACUUCAGCUUGUCCCGCCCACAACCUUAUAAAUAAUUGCCGAAGUUGCCGUCGUUGAGCGAGAGGAAUCAUAUCGGCGAGCACGUGUCUGUUUUCUAUUCAGAUUUAGCCCGGGCUGUGAGGUAAGCAAAACGCUAUUGGCUGUUUAGAAAGGGGGGAGGAGCCGCUCGAGAUUCAGUCAUUUCGGUGGAAAUUACAUCAGCACGUCGAAUAAGGCUGUGCGUUUCAAGACUCUUCACGGGGAUUUUAAUGUGCAUUAAGUAAGACGGAGUUGAGCGUCUGUAAAAUGACUGACAGGAGGCGUAUACAAACACAAACAAGCAGUCCAAGCCAGACGUCAGAUUUCCGAACGCUUUUCCUCAGCGACUCAAUACACCUUUGCUAAGGCCUCAGCGUAAUCCAUUGUGUUUCAUCACGUUCGAUGUACCCUCCCGGUUAUUUCUACAAAUAAGGAAUAAAAAUUCAAGUAUCACACCUUUGCCACGAAGGGUGAAAAGUUUGCGGGCGGCACGGCAGCUUCGAUCCCGGUCUCAGGUCAGCGUCUGUUUCCUCAGGGUUCUCUGCUUUCCUUCCAGCUUCCCGAAACGUAGCAGUAGGCAGACUGGUGACUCGAAAGAACCCCUGUAUGCGAAAGCGUGACCGAGCAGGCACUGGAAAUGAACGUAUAAAUAUCGUCGCUGUAAACGAAGGCCUCUGAUUACAUCGUAGCGAUGCCUGGCGUAGCCGUAGACCCCAGUAAGUGCUUAAGCAUGUCGGAAAUGCGGCAUCGUUCAAUAAUACGGCUAGCAAACACAAGAACGAAGCCUUGAUUUGGGGAUUUCAGGAUGUUACUCCCCUUCAGUUGAUCCCAGGACUCCAGAUGUGAACGCAUCUUACGACUAUACUUCCUGUUAGUUCCACUGUAAUUACUAAAUAAUUCACAGAGCAGAAUUUUUCUCCAUCUCCAUCAUUAUUACACUGAAUAGAAUUACCCCCCCCCCACUUCAAAGCAAAUAAUAUUCCUUCUAGAUAUUUCUAAAAAGAGAAGAUCAGAAUUUGUAUCACUGCUCGGUCUUUGUGUUUUGGUCUGAAACCCUCAGUUAAGGUGACGUCAUAGUUCACAAUCGCACCUGAGCUUGGUUACCAUGGUGACAUCCGCGGUCCUGCGAACGAGUCAGGCAUUAAUAAUCCAGCGCGCACCCGAGCGCAGGAGCGAUCUGGAUUUUACUGUUGUUAUGUGGUAGUAAAUUUUCAUAUACAGUACGUGAUUCUUUUGCAGCAGUAACCGUGUCUGCGAUCGGUAGAAACCUUCAAUCGGGACCUCUAGAUCCCGUGUCCGAUAACGCGUAGAGCGUGUAGAGCAGUGGACAGAUGUGGGUUAUGGUAAUCUCAUUCUGUAUUUUAGCUUUAUUGAUGCUGCACUUUCACUUAUCUAAUUAGCGUGCUCCCAGAUAAAACACUAGACCUUCCCUUUCGCGAGCCAGCUGAAAGAAGGGAAAAAAAAAAAGUUGUCCAUUUUGUGAUACAUCAGCAUCAGUAACGCUAACAUGUUUCCUCGGGGCUUCGGAUCGAUCCGUCGGUCGGCCGGUGUACGUACGUGUGCGAGUCUCCGUCGUCACAGAAUAGGGAAGAAUCUUUUUUUCGUACUUAAUGUUUUUCCUCAUGCAGCAACUGAGUGGUAAUAAACGAACACGUUUAACUGGCGCGUCGCUCCACCGUUCACAGAUGUUCACCUACACGCCGGUCAUUUUGUCUUAUUCGGACCACCUCGGGCUGAUUCAGGGCCGAUCGAUCAAUUCCUCAACCCCACAGACCACAACAGCACCACUGCUGUUAGCAGAACUUCAACUCAACGCACCGCUAUAACUCAU
ensembl:lncRNA